GUAGUUCCUAAGAAGCAAUGGACAAAGACCCAGAGUCUGUGCUGGGGGCCUUGGAAGGCUCUAAACCCUGAGCAGCAGUUUACAGAAGAGGCGAACAAUAUGGAUAUGGAGACAAUCUCUGUAAGUCUUGCUAUGGAAGAAGGAGUUCUCAUGGGGCAAGAACUACUCCAGUUGUUCCCUUAAUGGGGUAGCCAGGGUAGCCUUCAGAGGAGGUAUCGUUUUCAGUUUUAACGUUAAAAAAAAAAAAAAAAAAAAAAGAAAGAAAAGAAAAAGGAAUCAGACAGGUGUAGCCUGAGUUCUCAGGAAGCUCUGAUAAGCAAGCAAAUGGUCACUGACGACAUCUCAAUGAGGGAGAUAAAGGGGAAAAUGUACUCCAGGGGGGCCUGGCUUGUGGUGCGCUGCGUUAUUGGUCACAGGAGCUGAAGUACAAAGUACAGAGGGUUGACAGAGCUUGGUGGCUUUUCUAGGUCACUGGCUUUGGGAAUGGGGGGGAGACUUGGGAGUGCUCUCCUGUAGGAUCCAAGACUUCUCAUCUUUCCGAUGCGAACUGAAUUAUGCUAGCAUGUCAACCAGGACAUUUCAGAGAAGCAUCGGUGAGCAUAUCUCCUUAAACGUGUUAGUAAACCUCUUACCAGAACACCCUCACUAUCGAUUUUUUUUUGUCACUAAAACACAAACCAGCAUGGGACAUUAAACAGGACCUUUGGUAUUGCCCCGAUGUGACUACCUGAAACCAGUCUAUGUCAGCACUUCUUGCUACCUGAGAUAUACAUUAUUCAUGGUUUAAGCCAUUCUGAGUCAGGACUUUUUUUUUAUUGAAACUCGGAGCUGGAAAUAGCCAAGUUUACCCACCAAGAAUAACAUCUGGAUUAUGAACCCUGGAAAUAUAACCACUGUCAUUUUGUGUCCCUGGACUAUAUUAAGCUCUAC
rnacentral:lncRNA from 1 species